UAUAUAUCCAUUACCUAAUUAUAAAGAAUUCAUUAUUUGUUAGCAUCCCUACAUUCGUUCUCUAAGUGAACGAAUUCAUGUUUUUUUUAAAUUAAUACUUCAUUCAAAAACAAAAAAAGAAAAGAAAAGAAAAAAACAUUACAAAAAAACUACAAUUUCUGAAAGUGCAUUCUCCAAUUAAUUAGAGAGUCACCCCUCCAAGGCAUAUUCAAUUUCAAAUGUCGGUGGCUCAGCUAACUUCUUGGUAGAUGUCGGUGGCUCAGCUUCUAGAGACGUGAUUAAUCUCUUGUUUUUGUUAAGGGAAAAGGUUGAUCAGAAAUUUGUAACUCGAAGGAAGAAGCUCUAUAUUUUCAUCCACAACGUAACUUUUGAAUCCAAAUGGAAACGAUAAACUAGCAAUUAUUAAAUUAACAAAAGUAGUUUUAAAUGAUAUUCUAUUUGAAUCAAAAGUUUCUACAUUUACUUGAUGAAUCCAUCAUUGUGUCAUUUCUGCAUGAAUUAUUAUCGCAUGCAAUAUCUAGUACUUCAAGAGCUUUUUGUUAGUGCUUUGGUGGCGACAUGAAUAAGAAUUUCAAUCAAAGUCAUGUAUCUGAAAUGAUGGCUUUUUGUGUAUUGGGUUGGAGGAUUCACUUCAACAAAUUGCCGUUUUCUUGUGAUCUUUUCCAUUAACGCAGUAUUAAUUUUCAAAAGAAAAAAAAAAGGGAAUUGUUCAUAAAGAAAGAAGUUGGAAAAAGAUUGAAUUAAGGAUAGUUUUGGAAGAAUGUAAGUGUCAUUAUAAGUAACAAAUUCUUAUAAUCAAUUAAUGAGUUUCUUUUUUUAGAAGAGAUGUUUUAUCAAAAAUUUAAAGUGGUGUCAAUAGUCUCUCUCUUUCUUAAAUGUGUAUUAAUAUCUAAAGCAACAAAGUUGUGUCGCUGUUGAAAUUUGAACCAAGUUCCCAAAGUUACUAAAUGAUAGUCUUACCAUUAAAAAAAUAAGCAUUUUAAUUUAUUUGAAAUAAGUUCAAUUUCUUUUUAUUUAAAUCUUUCAAAAGAGGAUUAGGGCAUACUAAAAGGAAAAUAUAAUUGUCUAGAAGAGGCUCCUCCUAGGGACUUAACUGGAUUCAUCCUGCGUGCCACCAAGCGGCAUUUAACUAUCGAAAAAGUAAGUUUAAUGAGAAGUUUUGAGUUUAAAUAUCCUCACCUCUUCAAGAGAAAAAAUAAUAUAUUUCUUUUUAGAGUAGAGCUAUUUGGGCCUUAAAAGUUCUUGAUUUGAACAUCAUUUUAUUUAGAAUACCUAUUAGUCAAAUUUUAUAAAAAAAAAAAAAAACCUCAUUUAAGUAAUUUUUAUUAAAUAUAAAUAAGUGAACAUUUUUCAAAUAAAUAAAUACAUUUUAAGUAAAAAAAUUAACUACACAUUAUUGAAAACCUGCUUUUCCAAACAAAUUACUAAACAUGUUUUUUCCAUUUUCUUUUCAUGUAGUACUUUUUUUUUUUGAAAAGUUUUCAUGUAGUACUUAAGAACAAAUUAACGAAUACUUUUUCAAAUAUAUAAAAACUCCGAUCAAGAACUUUUUUUUUGUGAAAUAAAUUUAAAAAAUGCCAUAGAAAUGCAAUACCAAGCACACCCUAGUUGGCCCCUAUUCCUGAAGAUUGAAAGAUACGUGCUCUUUUUGAUCUAACAACACAGAAAACGAUAUGCAACUGCAUAACCACAUUGCUUAAAACACAUUAAUGGGCGGCAAAAAGUACCAGCCGUGUCACCAAUCAAAUUUUGACUAAUGUAUGCAUGUGAUAGAGCCUUAUUCACUCAUAAGACUGAGCCAGUUCUAAAUUUGUAGCUAUUUAAAACCAAAAUUAAAUGGAGAGCUGUGCAACCUUCGCAGACCAACCACCAUUUUAGAUAAGGGAAUUAUUUCUGAAUUCACAUAAAUAUCUAAUCACCACAUAAUUUUAACAUAUUUUCUGUACUAUCUUUAUUUU
rnacentral:lncRNA from 1 species